rnacentral:rRNA from 1 species
CCUACGGGGGGCAGCAGUGGGGAAUAUUGGACAAUGGGCGAAAGCCUGAUCCAGCCAUGCCGCGUGUGUGAAGAAGGCCUUCGGGUUGUAAAGCACUUUCAGUGGGGAAGAAAGCCUUGGGGCUAAUACCCUCGAGGAAGGACAUCACCCACAGAAGAAGCACCGGCUAACUCCGUGCCAGCAGCCGCGGUAAUACGGAGGGUGCGAGCGUUAAUCGGAAUUACUGGGCGGAAAGCGCGCGUAGGCGGUCUGAUAAGCCGGUUGUGAAAGCCCCGGGCUCAACCUGGGAACGGCAUCCGGAACUGUCAGGCUAGAGGGCAGGAGAGGAAGGUAGAAUUCCCGGUGUAGCGGUGAAAUGCGUAGAGAUCGGGAGGAAUACCAGUGGCGAAGGCGGCCUUCUGGACUGACACUGACGCUGAGGUGCGAAAGCGUGGGUAGCAAACAGGAUUAGAUACCCAGUAGUC